rnacentral:lncRNA from 1 species
UUGAUCAUAGGUGAAAUCCAAUCCCUUCGCCUCUCGGAAGCGAGAAAGGGAGCAGCAAGCGUAGGCUUCGACAGUGCGUUUUGGGGCGCUAGUACUUAGUUGCUUUGGCGCGCCCCCUUUUUUUUUCAGAUGUCCACCCCAAACCGAAGGGGCGGAGGGCGCACAACCCCUUCUCCGCUCCUUUCCUGAGCGUUUCACACUAAGCUCUUCGAUUCUGCCCUGCGCCUCUCU